UUGCGGCUGCACGGGCGGGCGGGGCCGGGGCGGUCGCGGCGCCCUCAGCGCAGCCCCGGGGCCGCGCUGGUUCCCGCAGCGCACAGCCGGGGGGGCCGAGCACGGGGCUGCCCCGCGGCCGGCAGGCAGCCGCUGUCCUCCACAGGCACACGGUGCUCGGGGCUGAGGGAGCUCUGGAGAGCAUCCAGUCCAAUCCUGCUGUUAAAGCAGAUCUAGAGCCCGUUGCACAGAGUAGAGGCAGAAGGAGACUCCUUCAGAAAUGGUCAGGCCACGUCAGAAGCGUUUGCCUUACGAGAGAACAGUUCUUGACAAUGAGGUGGAUGGGAAAACCUGUCAAUGCUAGGCCUGCCCUGUUCUGUCUCACAGCAGAAGACUUACUUCAUUGUCUUUAAAACACUCUGCCAUCCUGCCAUUCGAUUUAUGAUGUAAUUUACCCCCUAUUUUUCCUAUAUCCAUGUCUUUCUAUUUACAUAUCUCUCUAUAUAUAGAUAUAUUCUACAGGACAUAUCUAUAUCCCUAGGAAUAGGGAAUUUCCUCAAUUCCCCCAUGGCUCUGCUGUGGGCUGAAAAUCCACAUCUGUGAAUCCAUUGGAGUCACAGUUUGAAAAUUGUCCCUGGUAAGGCUAAUGGAGGUAUUUGGCUCUGCAUAAUAGCUCCAGACUUUAGGAUUCUUUUUGCUGGCCUAGAUUUUGUCAAACAACAAGUCUUUGUGAUUUUUGUUUUAAACUCUUUAAGUGUAUGUGAUGGUCUCCUUGCUAUAUUUUCUAAAUGCAGCCAGAUGGCAGUGAAACCUUUACUACACAUUGCAGUUCAGUUGUGAAAGGCAUUUUUAAUAAUGUCCUAAUUUGGGCUUUCUUUUUUCCUGCUCAGUAUUUUCAGUCUAAUAGUAUGAACUGUUUGAAGGAGAAUAUGUAUGUAACCCAGACUCAUGUGAAAAAACCUACUGAAAAUAUUUUGUGGCUUCUGAUGUAAGCUAUCCAAAAAUUGAAGUUUAUGGGAAUUGAAGUUGUAUCAAACUAAUAUCUAAUUGUAAAUGUUUAUUUAUACAAGCAGGACUUUAUGGAGUUUAUGACUGCAUCCUGCAUUAUAGUAUAGAAAAGGACCAGUUUUAUGAGUGGCCAGACUUGGGGAAGCAGGCUGGGUUCUAAACUCCACUUGAGGUAGCCUGGAAGUCCAUGAAUAAUAAAGAGGAGGACUCAUCCAAAAAUAUCAUUAAGGAGAAAGGAUUCAGCUGAGUGACACUUGCUUUUUUUCCAGAUCUUUACAAGGGGAACCCCCCAGCCUUAUGCCUGAAGUCUAAAACCAAGUUUACCUUGGUUCUGGCAAUGUGUUGUUUGCUCUGUAGAGUCAGGAAACCUUCCUGCAUUCCUGAUCGCUGAUAAGUGCUGCUCUCCAUCGGGCAUUUCCUCCUGACUUUGAAAAACAAUACUGAGAUAAACUGAAAUCAUCUGCCUUUUUGCCUGGACUGAGAGCAGGAGUGGAGGCUGCUUCGUUGUACACAGAAACAAACAGAGCCUCUUUUGGGGUAAUAGCCACAAAAUUCUCGUUGAAGUUUUGGUGUUAAAAUGAGGAUUUUUAUUAGAAGAAAACCCUGAAUUUAAAAGUGACUUCCCACCCCAUUCUUACUUAGCACAGCUGUUUCUUUCAUAAUGAUGAAGGUUUGUAAUUAAAAAAAAGGCUGUUAUGAUGUUGUCUGUUUAUAAUGAAACUUUAUUUUUGAUUGCAUGUUUGCAGCACAGCAUGAGAGUUGUGGAAUUUUGCCAUUGCUUUUUACUCUGUUCCAGACAACCUUAGUGUGUUUGAUUUUGUUUGAAACUGAAUUUCGUCUGAUGAAAUUCCAGCCAAUGGCAUGAUUGUGGGUUAUUGCACUUGUUUGUGGAGAACUGCAACUCACUUUAUUUGUUUGUUUCCAUGUUUCCUUGCAGAGUCAAGGCCCGUGUGAGCUGUUCCCUCAGCAGUGCCACAGGGUCUCGACACAGCUGCCAGGGGGCUGUGCCCCAGGUGCCUGCAUGAACAGAUGUUUGAACAGUGGCCUCACCUCUGCUGAAGCUCAACACUAGCAAAACCUUGACUUUCCUCAUCUGUAACUUGAGUGAUGAGUCACUCAUUUAGCAAAGAGCUGCAGCACUGAAGGUUUUUGUUCUGCUGCCAAGAGCUGGAGAGGUAACAAGGGAGACAGAGCAGGAUCUUGGAGUGAUCCACACUCACUUCCUUGAAGUCCAGUGACACCAAACCACCAGAGCUUCCUCUGAGAUCCCUGAAAUCCAAGAUGAAAAUACUGAGGGUUACUCACACUGUGUUCCCCCAGCUUUGCUGACAGGUCAGGGACCUCUGCCUGAGGGGAGGUGACAAACAGCUAAGGGGAGUUAAAUGGGUCAGGAGUAGCUGAGACUGCUUGUAGCUGUUUGCCCCAUAUGUACAACUGCAGUGCAGAUUCCUGUUACCUGGUGAUGUCUCUGGCUUGUAAACUACUGAUCAGCUGCUGAAACUGCUUUUGCUGAAAAGAUCUUGAAAUCCCACAUGGAAUUAGAGAAAAAGAGAGAAAAAAUGAGAAAUGUCUAGGUUUUCUGAGGAUUAGUAUUGCUCAGUCAGGAAAGCUUUUGGUCGGACUUUUCAAAGAUGUAAUGAAAAUUGCUGAGGUUUAAGACUGAUGAAAUUUCCUAUGCUGGUGGCUGGAGCUUUAUACUUUGUGAUGAUGAAGAUUGAGUGGAAACUCCUUCAGGUGUGAAGUAGGAUAACAACAUGCUUUUUGCAGUGUAGUUACAGCUGUUAAUCCUCACAAUGCAGUGCCUUUUUGGUUAGGUAGCUUUUCUACUUGCACUGUUGGGUAGCUGAUUUAAAAAUAAAAUAAAGAAGCAAUGCCCUCAAAAAGAAUCUCUGUUGUGAUCUAGUGAAAUCAGUAUUGGAAGAAUACUGUUCUGGACAGCAUAAUCUGGACUGUGCUUUAGGGGUUUGUGAUCAAGAUGGGCAACUUGCCAGUGGCUGUAAAAAGAUUUAAGGAAAGUGUAGUCUCUGAACUAUGAUGAAAUGUCUUCUGUGAUACCUGUUGGAGCUCCACUAACAUUAAGAGGGAAAGGUAAGGUUCACUGAUGAGAGGAACAAUAGUGGACCAUUUUAACAGGCCCUUAGGCACAAGCUUAGCUGUGAAAGGUUGCCUAGGCUUUUGAACAAAAUUCAAAAUGUUUUUUGUCCUUGCUUCAUAGCAAUGGUAUUUUCACACUUAAAUGUCCCUGGUCACUUUACCCAUGCUUGCUUUUGUCAUGACUGGCCAAAUCCAGCCUAAAUUAUAUAAACUUGUGGAAUUGGUAGUGUGAUAUAAGCUAAAAAUGUGCUAGACAGUGUUAGAGCUGUCUUUUCUCCUAGAGAUUGCAAACAUGUAAUUAGUGUAGUUACUAACUUGAUGAUUAAAAUUCAGCAGUUGUUUUAUGCAUAACUUAUAUAAAGAACUGUAUAGGCACACAAUAUUUUGGUGAUUGGCAGUGGGGCUGUGUUUUAGGCACACAGUUUUGGUGAUUGGCAGUGGGGCUGUGUUUCAGGCACACAGUUUUGGUGAUUGGCAGUGGGGCUGUGUUUCAGGCACACAGUUUUGGGGAUUGGCAGUGGGGCUGUGUUUCAGGCACACAGUUUUGGGGAUUGGCAGUGGGGCUGUGUUUCAGGCACACAGUUUUGGUGAUUGGCAGUGGGGCUGUGUUUUAGGCACACAGUUUUGGUGAUUGGCAGUGGGGCUGUGUUUUAGGCACACAGUUUUGGGGAUUGGCAGUGGGGCUGGCCCAGCCUCAUCCCCAGGGGGCUCAGCUGUGAGCAGCAGGUGAGCAGCACUGACAGCAAUGAGCCAUGGAGUGCCCAGGGGCACUGACCAGCCACAAAGGGAGCAGAGGGCACACAGGGGCCGUGCAUCAACAUGAGGGGAUAAAAGGCUGGGCUAAAGAACAAGAAGGGCUGGGUCUUGAAGCCUUCUGAAGUGAUAAGGUGUUAUCCUGUGUGUUGUGGUUGUCUCAACUGCAACAGAACUGUCUCUUAUGGAGUUGGAAAUGAGCUUUCAUGGAGGCGAAAUGGUUCAAUCAUCUCUUCAAAGAAUUUCCAGCUGAAACAGGAAUUACAAAGGAGGCCUUGCUGCAGGAUCUCAGAAGAGCAUGUUUAUCCUCAAAAUUAGCAUUGUAACAGUUUUGGAGGAACCACUGCAAAGAGAACUGAAUUACUUGCCAAACCCCAACUCUGCAAAUCGGUAACAAAGCUGAAAAUAGAACCUGGAUCUCCUGAGAUAUUGGCUCCUGCAAGAAUGCCAGUGGCAGCUGGAAAAAAUAUGGCAAACACCGAAAAAAAUCCUUCUCCGCUUCUGAAAUCUGGUCCAAAGUUUUCUGCAAAUAUUGAUGCUGCAAAUAUAGUGAGAAUGAAAUACAGCAACAGAAUUUGAUUCCAAAGUUACUUAAUGAAGGAGCAACAGAGAUGCCAAGAAGACACACCACAGUGAUGGUUCCUAUGAUUCUGAUGUCGUUGGACUCAUCUACCAUCAGUGUAUCACUCUCCUGAAAGUGGUUAGAAAUGUUAUGAGAACCAGUCUUUCUCUGCCCAGCUGGUGGGAUCAAAUAACAAGGUGAAAUGGAAAGCAGUGAGCUGUCAAAGUUUCAGAGUUCUGUGAGUCUGUGUUGGUAUGUCAUGUUCCAGCUGGCUUUUUGCAGUUGGGGUUAUUUGGCUAAUGGGAUGCCUGCUCCUAUACUGAUUUUUGUCCAGAAAUGUAUGAAAUAUAUUCAAAAGGGAGAAAUAAUGAAGAAGCACUCUGUGGCAUAUAUAGACAGCCAGCUUCUUCCCUGCUAAAGAUGGCCCUCAAGCCUUAACUAAAACAUAUCACUACUUAUACAAAUACAUUAUGUAAAACAAACACCACCAUCACCACCCCCCCUCAAAAAAAGGAAAGCCACACAAAACAAAACUGGCCCAAUUUCAUCAUAUACAUGAAACAUCUAUAUUUACCUUUAGAAGUUCUACAACUGUUUCAGCAAAUCCAACUACAUACAUGGCAACUGCCACUGCAUUUGCAAAUGCAAAGAUAAGUCCUAUAGAUCCACCAAACUCUGGGCCCAGACUUCUUGAGAUAAGAUAGUAUGCUCCACCUGCAGACAGAAAUUAUUAUUUGAGCACAACUAAACACUCAGCUUUUGCCCUUUUUCCCCCACAUCUGUGCUUUUAAUCUCCCAAAUAUAAUCAAGCUUUGCCCUAUGUUAAUAGGGGACACUGCAGAAAAGCAAUGUGCUGUAUACUGGUUCUGCCGUCAGACUUUUCAGUAUGCCUUUCUAUUCCAGAAAUUUUAUUGCAUAUUAGCAUGCAAAACUGGACCUUGUUAUAAUUUUUCAUGAUGCAUGAUAUAGUAACAUAAAGGAGAGAGAACUUCACUUCCAAAAAGUGAAGUUAACUAACUUUUAAGUUGUAACUGACAUGGGUCUACCCGAUGUUAACAUGAAAGGUCACAUUCUGUGGUACAUUGUUUAAGUUCCUGCAGUGAAUCUUUAAUGUUUUUUGCAUUAAGUCUAUAUUUCCAUUUACUGUUGAUCGACUGGGAGAAAUCACUGCAAAUACACAUUUUUUUUCUUUGCUUAUAACACAGUUAUGCCAACUCCAUUAAUUUUUCUAAUUCAAAUCUGCAGAGAAGAUCAUAUUCAUGAGAUCAUAUUCACUUACCUCCUCUUACUACUCCAUUAGUGCAAAUGGCAGACAUGGAGAUACAUGUCAAUGUUGUUACUACUACACUCAGAGCAAUAACUAUGAUUCCAAGACCUGAAAGAUCCGAAAAAGAAAGUAUAUGCAAGUGUAUUCCAGUACCUGUUCUGCUUUAGGGACGUGGUAAGAACUUUCCAUUUUCCACAGGGCUUAGACCAGACCAGCUAAAACUUUAAGGCUCUGAAAUGCACCAAAACUUUGUUUCACAAAAUACCUGACAUGGACUUUUACAGCCGAAUUAUUUACCCAUCUUCCAAGGAGGGGCUGAAAUUUAAGGAGUGUUAUAAAGAAGGCAUUAAACUGAAGAUAUCCACUGAUCUGCAUCAGUCUUCAAAAUGACAGGAAGAGAUGUCUCAUGCUGAGUUUGUUGAAGAAUGUCCAACCUGGAAUGCUCUGAAUAGGAAAGAGCAGCUGAAAGGUGAAAGAAUUCCAGGAAAAGCCAAAACCAUCCUUUGCUCAGCAGUUGGCAGGAACACCUGAAAUGUACUUCUCAGACUGAACUGAAAGCCAUGCUUUAUUAGAAGUGACAGCUCAAACAUGCCUGAAAUUGUGGUGAGAGGUGGCUAGAAUUGUUACCUUCCAGUUCCACUAGCUGUGCCCUUUGGUUUAUGGUCCCUCUGGUUUGUCUCAUACCAAAAUGAUACAUAAAUACCUUCUGGGGCUUGAAAGCAUUAGUAACCCUAAGAUUUUUACCUCCACGGACAAACCCAUUAGUUGCUAUUGCAGAAGUUGACAACCCAGUAAUUGAGGUUACCAUCGUGGCGAGGAGAAUUAUGAUUACUCCAAGACCUGUCAGUAAUAAGAAGAUAAAAUAUUUUACUCAUGUUCCAUGUUUCCUACAAAUCAUUCUUUCUUUAAAUUGAAUUUUCAGGCCAGAAUCAGAGCAAUAAACUGAAAAGAUGGUUUGUUGACCACUUGCAGCUUGCAGAAUGUUUUCAUGAAGUCUGUGUCACGAUAGUAAAUUAUUCCCAUCAGUCUUCAAGCAGUGCUUCUUUCUGAUAGGAGUGCCCUGUCCAGGAAUUCUUGAUUUCCAAAGCAUGGAGGAAACAAACAAACAGGCAUCCCUUGACAUGGAUGCUUAUAUCUACCUUUAACACACAUCCUGGCUGUUUAAAUUAAGAUAGAGCACAUAAACCAGAGCUCUUGUAACAAUGCUGUUGUGUUUCAUCAGUUAAUGAAAUGUUGAAUCAGAGGAAGACUGACUAUAUUCACAGUGCAUGAGGACAGGGAGUCUGUCAGGCAGAGGACAAGACAAGAGUGGGAACCUUCUACAUCCUCACUUGCUAAGCUAUCAAAUGCUGGCCUUUCCCACUCUGCUCUCUGCCUCUUUCUCUGCAAAAGGUAGUUUUACUCUAACACAAAACAAACACUUGAAAAUGGAAAUACUGCAUUUUAGAUGCCAUUUAUUUUAACAGGUGACCUGUAAAGUAUAAUCAUAGAGAACUUAGGGGUUUUUUUUUAGCUGAUAACAGAAUGAAAAUCAUAUAUCAAAAUAUCAGUGAUAGGUGAUUAGUUAUAACUGGAUUUCAAUGCAAGAUUGAAACCCUUGAAUGUUUCCAGUCUUUGGCUAUAUGGCUGGGUUUCUGUGAACUUUGUGAAACUGCUAGAAACUGUAUGAGUAGGAUGUGCUUUGUGUGAUUUAAAAUCACAGACGCUUUGGUUUGAAGUGAUUUCAGAAGCUCUGUAGCUCAACCUUCCAGUUACAGCAGAACUACUGCCAGCACAGGAUUAAAUCAGUGAUGACCUUGGCUAGCUGGCUCUUGAAAACCUCCAUGGAUAAAGAUCCCACAGAAGAUCCUCUUUGGAUUACAUGUUCUAGGGCUAGACUACCUGCCCAAUAAAACAUGUACAAACUGCACCUCCCAAGGUACAAUUGCAGCCAUUGCUGUUACAUUUCUGGCACUACCUAGAGGAGUUGUUCUCUGUAGUUCCAGAUCUCCUUUUUGUUUCAAGUCAGGUGAAGAAAUAUAAUUUUUUUCCUCUCAACUUUAUUGCUUUUAUUCUCAUUUCUAUCUAUGAUAAGGGACAGAGAAAACCAGGAGGAAAAAAAAAAGAAUUACAGUUUGGUGCCAAGCAUGGAAGCAGGUCUUAGUUUUAUCUGAACUUGCUAAGGCUUAUGCAGUAUCUUUUUUUCCACAGGAUCCAUAGGCAUUCAGUGUGGAACUGGAGAAUAUACAUUGCUUGCAGCUGUAUUUAUUGGCCAGGCCUCAUCCAAAUUGAAACUUAGAUCCUACAAUUGACAUUGAGCUAGAAGUACUACGAGCUUAUUGAUUUAUCUGCUGUAUUUCUACCAUCUGACUUACAGAUCAGAUUCCUGAGUUCAGUUCAUACUCAUGGUUAUAGACAUCCAGUCCCUGAAUUAAUGUUCUUUGCUGCUUAAAUUAUAGCCACGUUAUCACAAUCCUUUAAGAUAAAGCAUUGUAAUGUGUGAGCCAUAAAUGAUAUGUAACAUAGAGUAGGAUGUUUAAAAAUUAUUUCAGCCUCUAAUAAAUCAUGUUUAUUGUACUGAUUUCUGAACUCUUACUAUAACUAGUCAUGCAAGUGUUUUAUGUGCAGGUCUGUAUAAAAGAAUUCCAAAUGGUCAUUCCUUUUGGUCAGCUACCAUUGAGCAGGAUGUGCUUUGAAGGAUAUUGUUCAACCAUGCAAAUUUUGUGCCUGAGAAGUGGACUGACUUUAAGAGCUGUUAACUCUUAAAUUGAGUAAGUUAGACAUAAUUCUCAAAGCAGUUUUAAAAUUAUUUGCUAUGUGCAUCCUAAGGAUACUUUUCAAGGAUGUUUUAUUGCAUUUCACAAUUCAUAUUGUUAACAUAUAUGUGAUAUAUAGGGUCAGAUAUUUUGCUAAUCUGAUACGAACAUUUUCUUGGGAAGGUUUUAAUGAUAAUUUUUUAAAAAAUAUUUUAGCAUGUUAAGAAGAAAAGUGCAUAAAAUGAAAUUACUCAACCAAAACAUCAUUGUAAUAUAAUGUAAUGUAAUAUAGUUUUAAUAUUUGGGGCCAGAUUUGCAGGUAGCAUAAACUUGGGUUUUCCCUGCCUUUGUCUAACCAUUCCAUGUACAGGUACAAAUACAGAUUUCAGAGUGUCCCUAGAUAUUAGGUGGAAAUAGCAGACUAGUUUGGACCUGGAAUCUUGUCAGAACUAUUCUGUGCCUUUUUUUUCCUAGCUUAUGAUAGCCAGAGAACCUUGCAGAAUCCUAUUUUUUCCCCCUGUAAGAGCUUUUACCCAAGACAGCCUAUCAGGGUAUGGAAAUAAUUGGGUUGUCUCUCCUUGGCCCUCUAAUGAUGGGGAUGUAAAUGGUGCCCAGAUGGUGGUUUAACUGUCUCAUUUAAUUUCCAUGUUCGUAGCAGUACCCAGUGAAAUCCCUGAGCCUUGGUGAUGAUGAGCUUCCAUCACUGUUCUCCUUAAGCAGCUUGGCUGGGGACUUAAAGCUUAUUGCUUAUAAGGCAUUCCAAAAAUGCAUUGAGAAAUUAUUCAAAUGGAAUUUGACGUCUCAUUUUCAAAAAUAAAAGUAACCCCCUUGCAUAACACAUGCAAUUUAAAAAAGCAACAGCAGAGCAAUAAACUGUAAGAAGAGCCUGCUUAUCAAUGAGUUAAAAUGGUAAAAUUAAAAAUGAAAGUAGGAAAGUUGUAACUGAUGUUGUGCAAAUUAAUGUUAAAAUCUGAUUAAAGUUUAGAUUGAAAACCAGGCAUAUGGCUCCUAAGUAAGUUGUUCCAAAAUGAAUUACUCUUGCCCAUGGCUAUUCUCACACCUCAAAACAAAGUAAUACUUCUUGAUGAUCUCAAUAAGUUACUAAACUGCCCUUAAAAACUAAUUUUGCAUGAAACCCUAGAGCAAAGUCUUGGCAAUAUUAAGAUGCAGAAUUUUCAUGGCAAGGCAUAUAGUUAUGAGUGCCCUGGGCUGUAUGUGCUCAUUUGGUAUGCAUCAUAAAAUCAGAAAGCACCCUUUUGUCAGGCACAGUGCUGGAGCCAUGCAUGGAACACGGCAGAAGUAGUAAAGUUCUUCCGCUUAGUUCUGAAUCUUUUAUUGUUGGGUUGUUUUUCCUUUUCCUAUUAGUGUCUCUGUAAAUUUGUGAUUUUUUUUUUUCCUUAAUAAGCGUUUCAUUGUUAUUUUUUUAUUAAGAGCUCAGUCUUGCUCAAGUGAAACUUCUGUAAAGUUACUGCUUUUUAUUGGAAAUGAGACUUCAACCAUGCAAAAUUUUGGAGAGGUUUCAUUUCACUUCCAUUGACAUGGACAUAAAUUAUAGUUCUAUUCAAUCUGAUUUUGAGCACUGACUUUUAUCCAAGUCCAGCAGAGCUGACACCCCUUAAUAUAACUGAAUGUUUCCGUUCUGUGAUCAUCCAAACUGGACUACUUGCCAUCCCCCCUUUGCUGUUUCAGGGUCCCAUUGCUCUAAUUGUAUGAUCAGGGAUCACAGAGGGGCACUGCCAUGGCAGCUCAGGUUUCUGUGCUUCCCCAGAGCAGUAGCUCUAAAAAGGGAGCUGUAGCACCCAGCUGUGGGACAUUGCACCUCUCUGAGCUGCUCUUGCAGUGCUGAGAGCACUUCUCUCACUUGCUGGUUUCACUGAACACUCUGCAAUAUGCUGGAUGGAGGCCUUGGAGCCCAGUCUCCCAGGAAUCUGGAAUUUGGAUUAAUUAAAUUUCACAAUGAAGAAGCAAAGAUACAGUACACAAACAAAUAUACUUAUUUCAUUUAUAUAAAAGCUGUAAUAGAGUUUUUAAAACUUAGUCUUUCAUACUACACUAGUAUCAAGUGCUGUUCUGUAGUUAAAAAUAACAAAAUCCUGUUGAAAUGAGACCUCCUUCCAGUUCUGUUUUCAUCUUGGCAGAGAAGUGUUGAAGAAGUGAAGAAGUGUUGUUUAUAAUAUGUAGAUGACAAGGUUUGGGUUUCACAGAUAAGCAAAGUGUGAACUCUUAAAGGUUAACUCUCUACGCACAUAUUAGAAAUUGGCCCGAGUCACAAAGUUUACAUCUGUUAAGGACCUAAAUACAAAUUUCACUAAAGCUCAGAAAUAUUCAAAUGUGAUGAUCAUAUGCAUAGUUAACAGAUCUAUGCCUCUAAGCAAUAAUUUGGCUGUGAGUCUGGAAAAUUCCAAUAGUUUGGAGGAUUAAUGUCUUUUACCCUGGCAAGCAUUUGAAAACAUUAUUUAGUUCAACAUGCAAAUGCACAUCUUGGAUUAUAUAUUAAUCAUGAUCAUGUAUAGUUUAUCCUCUUUAUCCCUUCCACUGUUGAAAAUGAUAUUAAAUAAGAUACAUACCAAUUCCUGCUUGACCUACAAUCCAGGAAAGUCGAAUAAAGAGCAUCACACCCCAAAUAUUAAGCAUGCAUCUUACCUAGGUUUUAAAGAAAAAUUACUGCAUUAGUUCAAGGUUGAAAGUAAUGUUUAAAACCAGAAGGGUGAUAAAGUGCAUUUCACCCCAAACAUCCCUGAAGUCUGCCUCCCUCUCUUAAUUCUUCAGAGACUUAAGUGUAACAGAACUGAUUUUAUUUCCUUUUAAUUGUGUUUUUUUACAAAUGCAGGUAAGUUUCUCACCAGCACACCCUUCACCCAUCCGAACUUGACAAAUCCAGUUUUGUUUUCUUCUUCCUUGCUGACUGCUGUCUCAUCUCCAGCCGUGCUUUCUCCAUUCGCCACUCUCUCGACGGAGCCGGUGCUCACAGCGAUGUUCUGGAGGACCACACAGAAAACAUAUACAUUUUUUGGGCCAGGAAGAGGACACCUGGCUGCAUAAAGGAGAUGCAAUAGAAAAGAAUUCCAAAGAUCACGUUUUACAGUCACUGGAGUGGAGAGCAAUAUUCUGCUCACACCAGGCAUCAGCAGAAUAGCUUAGUCUUCAUCUCUCCUGUGGCUAAAGAUGAUGAGCUCAUCAAAUCUCCAUAACAAGUGUGGAGAAUAGCCAAGAGGAAGAAAGUCUUUUCUUUGAGCAAGGUACAGAGCAGAGAACAAACUGCAGCUACCAAAGGAAAUAUGGUCAGGAUUCUUCUCCUCCUUUUAUUCGUUACCCAUAUAAACACUGGCAAAAAGAAAGGCUCCUUAACAUCCUGCUGUGAAAUAAAAGGCCACUGGAAGUCCUUCAGAAGAAACAGAGUCCUCAAGAAAAUGGGAAUGAGGAAAACAGCUUAAUACUGAGCUAAGAAACACGGAGGUAUGAGCUGGGGGUGCUGGCUGCACCUGUGGGGGAUGAAGGGGAGCACCAUGGGCACUAGGUAUUGUGAGGCAGCUGGAAGGAAGAUGGCAAAACUGUUAUUCUCUAGCAGAAUCACCAGCCCAACUCUGCCAGUGUUUGGUGUGAAGAUCCCAGCCUCAGCUAUUUGGUGGUUUGGGGUGACAGGGUGUCAUUUUUUUCGGAUCUAGCCUUUACUCUCAGGUUUACAGAGACUUAAGAAGAUCAGGAAAAUAACCAGGAUAAUCUUCCUGGGCUUCUGGGUUUCAGUCCUUCUCUCACAGAACCCCCUACAGGAUUUUUUCUGGUGGCUCAGUGCUCAGGAAACUAGCAGCUUUACACGAUCCCAAGCUGGGAGCAUUCAUCCUCUUGGCAUGACUAAGCCUCAGGUGCCUAAAAACUCACUUCCUGAAUGACAGUUUGUAACAAAAUUGACCACAUUAGUGGCCAUCUGUUCUCUUCCUGGAUGUCUACAGCCCAAAUGCUGGUUCAUGGAUGUGAUUAUUCUGAAAGUACUUUGAAUAGCUUCAGUCCUGAGCUUGUGCUUGAGUAACAGCAAACCUAACUUGGAAAGUGACAUAUAAACAGGUAUUCUCUGGGAGCUUUGGAAGCACCUCAUUUGCCCUUAACUGUCUGUUCAGGGAAACAAAACUGUAUUCCAGAAAUGCUAUUACAGAAGUUGGUCAUAGAAGGUGGUAAGGUGAAAAGAUUAACAAUGGAGAAGUCCUAUAAAAUAGACUAGAAAUAGAAAUAAGCAUGAAUAUGGAGUUCUUUGAAGAGUCUGAGCUACCUGAGUUAAUAACACAUGGCCAGAAAUGCUGCAAAAGGAGCACUGUGAGCACACAGCCAACUUGUCAUACUCAUGUGCUGCUCACUGCGUGCCUGUAUUCUCUAAAUUGCUGGGGACAGCACUGUAUCUUCCAGGGUAUGGUAUGUCCUUCUAAGACAUUCAGGGAGGUGAAGGUAGGAAGGCCAGGACAUGGAUGCUCAGCAAAUGAAGACAUGGCUUACAGCUCUGCAAAGAGAGCCCCACACUGUGUUUUUGCAGCAUGGUAACUGGGUGCAAGCAACACUUUUCCACAUAAACAGCAUUCCCCUGCAAAGAAGCAGCAGCCGAGCUGUGACACUUCCAGCCUUCCAACAAGGAAUGAAUUGCAAAAUAAGAUUUUAUCUGUAGCAAAUAUCUGAACCUGGCGUCUUCAGUGGAUGAGAGCUUCUGUGCUGUGAAUUCAUAUACGUGGUCUAGAUUUGGAUAAUAUAGAAGUGCAGGAAAAUAAAACGUUUACUAGCAUCAUCCUUAACUUGGGAAUGUGGAAAAGUGUUGCCUGCUUCCCAGGGGAUGGAGGCUGAGAGAGACCGAGCACCUGCAAAGCAAUUGUUGCUGUAGGAUGGCGCGCCCAGCCUUCGCUUUCAGCGGCCGCGCUACCCGGGGGAAGGCAGAUUCAGGCGCUCCCCCUGCCCUGCUCCCCCGGUGCCUCUCCCGUCCCUCCGUGCCCCGCCGGGCCGGGCCGGGCCGGGCGGCGCCCAAGGUCAGCCCCGCGCCCCGCCCGCCGCCCGCGCU